CCCCCCGCUCCUCUGUACAGCCACCUAGUUCCACACUUCAAAGACACAGAGGACACUGGACCACCAGACCACCACGGUACUGAGUCCUGCUGCUCCCGGCCUAGAGCCCUGUCUUCGUUCCCAAAGCGAAUAUGUCUAGAUGGCUGUAUCUGCUGUUGAUUCUUUCUUCAAGGGUCCGGAAAGCAGGCAGCUCAGACACAAGAGAGAAUAAGAAAGCUGGAGGGGGCAGGGUGAAGGGGACGGUGAAUGUUUAGAUGAUCUAAAUGGAGAACAUACAGGUUAGCAUUUGGACAGGUGUCCUUAAGACAAGAAGAAAGAAGUUGAAGGAUAAUGUUAGCUGACUGCAGAGUCCCAUAUGGGAACAAGAAAAGCGGCAAAGAACUGAUAUUUCCGAGAUGAUGACUGAGCUAGAUGCUUUAGGCAUGAGUUCUGCACCUGGAUGUUCAUCACAAUGGCCUGAGGAACUUUUAAAAAAUAUGUAACAUAGCCUUCCCUGUAUGUAUUAAUAUGAAUGUCUAGAUAUGAAGCCUGGGCAAG
ensembl:lncRNA